UACGAUCAAGCCACGCUGAAACACCGGUUCUCGUUCGAUCACCGAAGUUAAGCAUCGUAGAGCCAGGUCAGUACUUAGAUGGGGGACCGCUUGGGAACACCUGGUACUGUAAG